rnacentral:tRNA from 1 species
GGGGUUAUAGUAUAAAUGGUAGUACAACAACUUUGCAUGUUGUUUGUUUAGGUUCGAGACCUAAUAUCUCCA